UAAGUUAACUGCGUCACGCCGAUAUUGAGGAACACAUAAUAUUUCAAAGUGACAAAUGAUAAAACAAAUACAAACUCAGAGUUUUUUUAAAAGUACCUUGAGAACACCACCUGGACACAGUGCUCCACUGUUGAUAGGCGUGAGUGCAUUUGAACCCGUGGCCCGGCCCAUUUGACUCCUGGCCGAUGUCCUUGUUUGGGUGUUGACAACGUCCGUCAGGUCGGGUGAUGAUGGUGUAUGCCGAUAACCUCCAGUUUUUCCGCACCAUGCCCUGUAAUCUGUCCUUGCUACGGCGCUGCCUGCUCCUGGACGCGCCUGGGAUUACAAUCGCUGCUCCUGGAGGUCGAUGCGGCAGGAUGGCUUGUGUGUGGAACCACAACAUGCUCAAAGCAACUUGAAUCGCUGCCCUUGUCUUGAUUGUCAUGGGGGGUCUGGAUGCCCCCCAGUCCAACACCAUUGCCAUUUGGAAUCUCAAUUGUCAGAGCUUGUGGUCGGUUCGAGUACUGGUAUUUGAUUGGAAGCAUCUUGAGGCAUUGAUGAAGGGUUUGCAUCGAAUCGAAACUGUUGACCUGGCCGACAAUUAAAGCUCUUCGACUGUUGCUGGAACUCGGGAUACUUUAGUGUGCGGGGUUUCCAAAUAGAAUAUUUAUAAUUAUUCCUAAAAUGUGAAAUGCUCGGAUAUGUUCAACUUAAAUGUUACAUAUUAGAUUUAAUAAAGUUUUCAGCAUUGUUAAUGAUAAUUUAA